rnacentral:rRNA from 1 species
GAUGAACGCUAGCGGCAGGCCUAACACAUGCAAGUCGAGGGAGAAGCCCUUUCGGGGGCAGAAACCGGCGCACGGGUGCGUAACGCGUAUGCAACCUACCUUUCACAGGGGGAUAGCCCGAAGAAAUUUGGAUUAAUACCCCAUAAUAUUAUUGGAUGGCAUCAUUUGAUAAUUAAAACUGCGGUGGUGAAAGAUGGGCAUGCGUCCUAUUAGCAAGUUGGAGUGGUAACGGCACCCCAAGGCUACGAUAGGUAGGGGUCCUGAGAGGGAGAUCCCCCACACUGGUACUGAGACAGGGACCAGACUCCUACGGGAGGCAGCAGUGAGGAAUAUUGGUCAAUGGUCGGAAGACUGAACCAGCCAUGCCGCGUGCAGGAAGAAUGCCUUAUGGGUUGUAAACUGCUUUUAUAUGGGAAGAAUAAGGCGUACGUGUACGUUGAUGACGGUACCAUAUGAAUAAGCAUCGGCUAACUCCGUG